rnacentral:rRNA from 1 species
GGGUUGUGAGGUUAAGCGACUAAGCGUACACGGUGGAUGCCCUGGCAGUCAGAGGCGAUGAAGGACGUGCUAAUCUGCGAUAAGCGUCGGUAAGGUGAUAUGAACCGUUAUAACCGGCGAUUUCCGAAUGGGGAAACCCAGUGUGUUUCGACACACUAUCAUUAACUGAAUCCAUAGGUUAAUGAGGCGAACCGGGGGAACUGAAACAUCUAAGUACCCCGAGGAAAAGAAAUCAACCGAGAUUCCCCCAGUAGCGGCGAGCGAACGGGGAGCAGCCCAGAGCCUGAAUCAGUGUGUGUGUUAGUGGAAGCGUCUGGAAAGGCGCGCGAUACAGGGUGACAGCCCCGUACACAAAAAUGCACAUGCUGUGAGCUCGAUGAGUAGGGCGGGACACGUGGUAUCCUGUCUGAAUAUGGGGGGACCAUCCUCCAAGGCUAAAUACUCCUGACUGACCGAUAGUGAACCAGUACCGUGAGGGAAAGGCGAAAAGAACCCCGGCGAGGGGAGUGAAAAAGAACCUGAAACCGUGUACGUACAAGCAGUGGGAGCACGCUUAGGCGUGUGACUGCGUACCUUUUGUAUAAUGGGUCAGCGACUUAUAUUCUGUAGCAAGGUUAACCGAAUAGGGGAGCCGAAGGGAAACCGAGUCUUAACUGGGCGUUAAGUUGCAGGGUAUAGACCCGAAACCCGGUGAUCUAGCCAUGGGCAGGUUGAAGGUUGGGUAACACUAACUGGAGGACCGAACCGACUAAUGUUGAAAAAUUAGCGGAUGACUUGUGGCUGGGGGUGAAAGGCCAAUCAAACCGGGAGAUAGCUGGUUCUCCCCGAAAGCUAUUUAGGUAGCGCCUCGUGAAUUCAUCUCCGGGGGUAGAGCACUGUUUCGGCAAGGGGGUCAUCCCGACUUACCAACCCGAUGCAAACUGCGAAUACCGGAGAAUGUUAUCACGGGAGACACACGGCGGGUGCUAACGUCCGUCGUGAAGAGGGAAACAACCCAGACCGCCAGCUAAGGUCCCAAAGUCAUGGUUAAGUGGGAAACGAUGUGGGAAGGCCCAGACAGCCAGGAUGUUGGCUUAGAAGCAGCCAUCAUUUAAAGAAAGCGUAAUAGCUCACUGGUCGAGUCGGCCUGCGCGGAAGAUGUAACGGGGCUAAACCAUGCACCGAAGCUGCGGCAGCGACGCUUAUGCGUUGUUGGGUAGGGGAGCGUUCUGUAAGCCUGCGAAGGUGUGCUGUGAGGCAUGCUGGAGGUAUCAGAAGUGCGAAUGCUGACAUAAGUAACGAUAAAGCGGGUGAAAAGCCCGCUCGCCGGAAGACCAAGGGUUCCUGUCCAACGUUAAUCGGGGCAGGGUGAGUCGACCCCUAAGGCGAGGCCGAAAGGCGUAGUCGAUGGGAAACAGGUUAAUAUUCCUGUACUUGGUGUUACUGCGAAGGGGGGACGGAGAAGGCUAUGUUGGCCGGGCGACGGUUGUCCCGGUUUAAGCGUGUAGGCUGGUUUUCCAGGCAAAUCCGGAAAACUAAGGCUGAGGCGUGAUGACGAGGCACUACGGUGCUGAAGCAACAAAUGCCCUGCUUCCAGGAAAAGCCUCUAAGCAUCAGGUAACAUCAAAUCGUACCCCAAACCGACACAGGUGGUCAGGUAGAGAAUACCAAGGCGCUUGAGAGAACUCGGGUGAAGGAACUAGGCAAAAUGGUGCCGUAACUUCGGGAGAAGGCACGCUGAUAUGUAGGUGAAGUCCCUCGCGGAUGGAGCUGAAAUCAGUCGAAGAUACCAGCUGGCUGCAACUGUUUAUUAAAAACACAGCACUGUGCAAACACGAAAGUGGACGUAUACGGUGUGACGCCUGCCCGGUGCCGGAAGGUUAAUUGAUGGGGUCAGCGCAAGCGAAGCUCUUGAUCGAAGCCCCGGUAAACGGCGGCCGUAACUAUAACGGUCCUAAGGUAGCGAAAUUCCUUGUCGGGUAAGUUCCGACCUGCACGAAUGGCGUAAUGAUGGCCAGGCUGUCUCCACCCGAGACUCAGUGAAAUUGAACUCGCUGUGAAGAUGCAGUGUACCCGCGGCAAGACGGAAAGACCCCGUGAACCUUUACUAUAGCUUGACACUGAACAUUGAGCCUUGAUGUGUAGGAUAGGUGGGAGGCUUGGAAGUGUGGACGCCAGUCUGCAUGGAGCCGACCUUGAAAUACCACCCUUUAAUGUUUGAUGUUCUAACGUUGACCCGUAAUCCGGGUUGCGGACAGUGUCUGGUGGGUAGUUUGACUGGGGCGGUCUCCUCCUAAAGAGUAACGGAGGAGCACGAAGGUUGGCUAAUCCUGGUCGGACAUCAGGAGGUUAGUGCAAUGGCAUAAGCCAGCUUGACUGCGAGCGUGACGGCGCGAGCAGGUGCGAAAGCAGGUCAUAGUGAUCCGGUGGUUCUGAAUGGAAGGGCCAUCGCUCAACGGAUAAAAGGUACUCCGGGGAUAACAGGCUGAUACCGCCCAAGAGUUCAUAUCGACGGCGGUGUUUGGCACCUCGAUGUCGGCUCAUCACAUCCUGGGGCUGAAGUAGGUCCCAAGGGUAUGGCUGUUCGCCAUUUAAAGUGGUACGCGAGCUGGGUUUAGAACGUCGUGAGACAGUUCGGUCCCUAUCUGCCGUGGGCGCUGGAGAACUGAGGGGGGCUGCUCCUAGUACGAGAGGACCGGAGUGGACGCAUCACUGGUGUUCGGGUUGUCAUGCCAAUGGCACUGCCCGGUAGCUAAAUGCGGAAGAGAUAAGUGCUGAAAGCAUCUAAGCACGAAACUUGCCCCGAGAUGAGUUCUCCCUGACUCCUUGAGAGUCCUGAAGGAACGUUGAAGACGACGACGUUGAUAGGCCGGGUGUGUAAGCGCAGCGAUGCGUUGAGCUAACCGGUACUAAUGAACCGUGAGGCUUAACCUUACAACGCCGAAG